GUUCGGUCGAAAGACCGAAUCAACAGACAAGUAGUUCUUGGCCUUUUUGGCCGAUUGAAUCACUCACAUUACGGAGAGUUUGAUUCUGGCUCAGAACGAACGCUGGCGGCGUGGAUAAGACAUGCAAGUCGAACGCUCGUUUCGGGGUAGCAAUAUUCCGGAGCGGGAGUGGCGCAAGGGUGCGUAACACGUGGGUCAUUUGCCGUGAAGCUGGGAACAACUCGUUGAAAGACGAGCUAAUACCCAAUGUGCUCCGCAAGGAGUAAAGCCGGGGACCGCAAGGCCUGGCACUUUACGAUAAGCCCGCGGCCUAUCAGCUAGUUGGCGGGGUAAAAGCCCACCAAGGCUAAGACGGGUAGCUGGUCUGAGAGGACGACCAGCCACACUGGAACUGAGACACGGUCCAGACACCUACGGGUGGCAGCAGUCGAGAAUUUUUCACAAUGGGCGAAAGCCUGAUGGAGCGACGCCGCGUGGGGGAUGAAGGGCUUCGGCUCGUAAACCCCUGUCAUUCGCGAAC
rnacentral:rRNA from 1 species